rnacentral:lncRNA from 1 species
CGCGCUCACUGUGAGCUGGGGGCUCUGCCCGCUACCGGGGAUGCGAUGCGCCAGUGCGACCCCGUCCCUUCCCCAAGGAAUUUAAAGACGGCUCUUCCCGGGUCCCACCGAGGAAAGGCACGCAAAACUGAGGUCAGCGGCCGCAGAGACUUUCCAUCUCCUUCCCCUUCUGAGAGGAGAUGGCUUCGCAGCGGAGAUGGCAAUCGAGUCGGCACUCCAAGACCCAGUCGAAUUGGGACUUUCCAGGCUACUACACAGUCUGCCUCUCCCACGCCUCAAGAUCUAGCCAAGGGGUGAAGAUUGCACAGGCUCAAGUCCAGCCGUCUCUCCAGCAGAGGCAGACAGUUCUGCCAAUGGGUCAGGCUACUUCUGUAGUUGAAAUUCCUAGAGCACAGCCUCUUGGAGGAAGGCUGCAAUUCUCCCUCCUGAAGAUCACUUGGCCCAAUACAAAUGAGCCUCUCAGCUGGCGCUCAGGAGCCCGCUUGAUUCACUUCACCGCAUUUUUCAAAUCCCUGAAAGAAAGAGACAACUGCUCAAGAUUCCAGAACUAAAAACCUUGGAUGGGACUACAGAGACUCCUGGCCAGGACCAGUAUUGUCUCUAUCCGAUUCCUUAGCUGGAAAGCAUCUCCAGGCAUCUCUGAAGAGGAGACAGUGGUCCUCAGUGCUUCCUGGGAAGCGUGCCAUUCUUAAAUUUGCGAGGGAGUUUUGGGCGCAGCAGCCCAAGUUGCUCAUGCACUAGCCUGGCUCCUGUGUACCCCACAUGCAGAUACCCUACGGGACAUAGCAAAAGACUUUUCACCUUGGCCUUUACCCUCAAAACAUAAAUCCUUUUAAAAAGUUACCUGUGAUGGAAGGGGAAGAGCACACACGGGG